AUGCGUACCAAAAUCUUGGAAGCUCUUCAUGACUCACCCCUCGGAGGCCACUCUGGUAUUCCAGUUACAUUACGAAGAAUUAAGCAGAUUUUCUAUUGGAAAGGGAUACGGGCUUCAGUGCAUCAGUAUGUGCAAGAGUGCAUUGUCUGUCAGCGUGCUAAGCCUGACAGAGCUAAAUAUCCUGGCCUACUGGCACCUCUGCCUGUUCCUUCACAGUAUUGGCAAAUGCUCACUGUGGAUUUUGUCCAAGGUUUGCCUCGUUCUGGCCAUUUCAAUUGUGUCAUGGUGGUACCGUGGUAG
rnacentral:rRNA from 1 species